AAGGUUGGCUUCUGGACAUUUCCGAUCUGCACUCUCUCUCUCUCUCUGUCUACAGCACUAUCAAGGAUCUAAAGUUUGCAAUGAGGUUUCUUAUACUCCUCAUUCUCCUGGAGAUCAAACAAUUCCAUAAGCCCUGACCGAUGAUGCCGAGCCGCAAUCCUCGACGUCGUCCGCCUCUUCUUCACCAAUUUACAUCCACCCAUGACGUGAGCCCUUCGAGCACGGCCUUCUCCCCAUUCCCAAGCUCAUCAUCACCGACGGCACCGAAACACUGGGCCCCAUUUAGGACAAGCUCUUCUAACCGUUAGACCCAAUCGCAUCACAUUUCCGAUUUCCUCCAGAUCUCACCUCAGGUACUAAGGCUGUGUGUCUUUGAAAUAAUAGGAUAUUGGGUUCAAAAAUGAGAUUUUGUAUGAUAUCCACAGCAGCCCAGAUCUAGUACGGUGACUCAUCAAAUUCAUCGAUUGCUUGAAAGGUGUCUGAAAUCUGGGGUUUUGAUAGGUUUACUCUCAGAACUAAGUUAGACAAUACUGCUAUUAGCUGUUUCGUGAUGCCUAUGACUUGGUUGUGGCUUCCUCUUUCUUCCUAUGAUUGCGGAAGUUGUUAGCUUCUUCAUGCUGCCAGACUUGUGUUCUGGGAAGAUAUUAGAGAGGAUUUUAUAAGACUCUGUAAAACGUUUCAUGGAUUCUUUAGCUAUUUAAUGUGUGGCGUGAGGGCGUGACAUUGGAAUACUAACAGUUUUCUUGGAAUGAAUUUAUGUAAUUAAUGCUCA